rnacentral:rRNA from 1 species
UACGGGGGGAGCAAGCGUUGUUCGGAUUUACUGGGCGUAAAGGGCGCGUAGGCGGCCACCGCAAGUCGACUGUGAAAUCUCCGGGCUUAACCCGGAAAGGUCAGCCGAUACUGCGGGGCUAGAGUGCAGAAGGGGCAACUGGAAUUCUCGGUGUAGCGGUGAAAUGCGCAGAUAUCGGGAGGAACACCAAUGGCGAAGGCAGCUCGCUGGGACGGUACUGACGCUGAGACGCGAAAGCGUGGGGAGCAAACAGG